UGGGGAAUUUUGGACAAUGGGCGAAAGCCUGAUCCAGCAAUGCCGCGUGUGUGAAGAAGGCCUUCGGGUUGUAAAGCACUUUUGUCCGGAAAGAAAUCCUUGGCUCUAAUACAGUCGGGGGAUGACGGUACCGGAAGAAUAAGCACCGGCUAACUACGUGCCAGCAGCCGCGGUAAUACGUAGGGUGCAAGCGUUAAUCGGAAUUACUGGGCGUAAAGCGUGCGCAGGCGGUUUGCUAAGACCGAUGUGAAAUCCCCGGGCUCAACCUGGGAACUGCAUUGGUGACUGGCAGGCUAGAGUAUGGCAGAGGGGGGUAAAAUUCCACGUGUAGCAGUGAAAUGCGUAGAGAUGUGGAGGAAUACCGAUGGCGAAGGCAGCCCCCUGGGCCAAUACUGACGCUCAUGCACGAAAGCGUGGGGAGCAAACAGGAUUAGAUACCCUGGUAGUCCACGCCCUAAACGAUGUNAACUAGUUGUGGGAUUCAUUCCUUAGUAACGUAGCUAACGCGUGAAGUUGACCGCCUGGGGAGUACGGUCGCAAGAUUAAAAACUCAAAGG
rnacentral:rRNA from 1 species